rnacentral:rRNA from 1 species
CUGGAAAGGCCCGCCAAAGAAGGUAACAGCCCUGUAACUGAAAUGUUGUUCUCUCCAGAGUGGAUCCUGAGUACGGCGGAACACGUGAAAUUCCGUCGGAAUCCGGGAGGACCAUCUCCCAAGGCUAAAUACUCCCUAGUGACCGAUAGUGAACCAGUACCGUGAGGGAAAGGUGAAAAGCACCCCGGAAGGGGAGUGAAAUAGAUCCUGAAACCGUGUGCCUACAAGUAGUCAGAGCCCGUUAAAGGGUGAUGGCGUGCCUUUUGUAGAAUGAACCGGCGAGUUACGAUCCCGUGCAAGGUUAAGCAGAAGAUGCGGAGCCGCAGCGAAAGCGAGUCUGAAUAGGGCGCAUGAGUACGUGGUCGUAGACCCGAAACCAGGUGAUCUACCCAUGUCCAGGGUGAAGUUCAGGUAACACUGAAUGGAGGCCCGAACCCACGCACGUUGAAAAGUGCGGGGAUGAGGUGUGGGUAGGGGUGAAAUGCCAAUCGAACCUGGAGAUAGCUGGUUCUCUCCGAAAUAGCUUUAGGGCUAGCCUCAAGGUAAGAGUCUCGGAGGUAGAGCACUGAUUGGACUAGGGGCCCCUACCGGGUUACCGAAUUCAGUCAAACUCCGAAUGCCGAUGACUUAUCCUUGGGAGUCAGACUGCGAGUGAUAAGAUCCGUAGUCGAAAGGGAAACAGCCCAGACCGCCAGCUAAGGUCCCAAAGUAUACGUUAAGUGGAAAAGGAUGUGGAGUUGCUUAGACAACCAGGAUGUUGGCUUAGAAGCAGCCACCAUUUAAAGAGUGCGUAAUAGCUCACUGGUCGAGUGACUCUGCGCCGAAAAUGUACCGGGGCUAAACGUAUCACCGAAGCUGCGGACUGUUCUAACGAACAGUGGUAGGAGAGCGUUCUAAGUGCUGUGAAGUCAGACCGGAAGGACUGGUGGAGCGCUUAGAAGUGAGAAUGCCGGUAUGAGUAGCGAAAGACGGGUGAGAAUCCCGUCCACCGAAUGCCUAAGGUUUCCUGAGGAAGGCUCGUCCGCUCAGGGUUAGUCGGGACCUAAGCCGAGGCCGAAAGGCGUAGGCGAUGGACAACAGGUUGAUAUUCCUGUACCACCUCCUCACCAUUUGAGCAAUGGGGGGACGCAGGAGGAUAGGGUAAGCGCGGUAUUGGAUAUCCGCGUCCAAGCAGUUAGGCUGGGAAAUAGGCAAAUCCGUUUCCCGUGAAGGCUGAGCUGUGAUGGCGAGCGAAAUUUAGUAGCGAAGUUCCUGAUUCCACACUGCCAAGAAAAGCCUCUAGCGAGGUGAGAGGUGCCCGUACCGCAAACCGACACAGGUAGGCGAGGAGAGAAUCCUAAGGUGAUCGAGAGAACUCUCGUUAAGGAACUCGGCAAAAUGACCCCGUAACUUCGGGAGAAGGGGUGCUUCUUAGGGUGUUAAAGCCCCGAGAAGCCGCAGUGAAUAGGCCCAGGCGACUGUUUAGCAAAAACACAGGUCUCUGCGAAGCCGUAAGGCGAAGUAUAGGGGCUGACGCCUGCCCGGUGCUGGAAGGUUAAGAGGAGCGCUUAGCGUAAGCGAAGGUGCGAAUUGAAGCC